rnacentral:rRNA from 1 species
UACGUAGGGUGCGAGCGUUAAUCGGAAUUACUGGGCGUAAAGCGUGUGUAGGCGGCCACGUAAGUCGGAUGUGAAAGCCCCGGGCUCAACCCGGGAAGUGCACUCGAUACUGCGUGGCUUGAGUACUGGAGAGGUUGGUGGAAUUCUCGGUGUAGAGGUGAAAUUCGUAGAUAUCGAGAGGAACACCGGUGGCGAAGGCGGCCAACUGGACAGAUACUGACGCUGAGACACGAAAGCGUGGGGAGCAAACAGG